rnacentral:rRNA from 1 species
AUGUGGACCCGUCUUCGUCAGUGCUAUCAGCCCUCUGGUGAUGCCUUGUACCUUUCUGUGGUCCGUCAGGAGCAUGCUCUUCAGCAGGGUGACUCUACUGUUGAUUACUUCUAUGCACAGAGUUCUGCUAUCUAAUGCCAGCUUGAUUCUCUCCGCAGUGCUGGUUGUCGUACUUGCUGUUGCCAGGCUGUCCAGGCCAAUUUGGAGUUUCAUCGCGUCUACGAGUUCCUAUCUCGGCUCCGUAAGGAGUUUGAGCCCCGGCGUGCUCAGUUGUUUGCUCGUGGCCGUAUUUCUCUCAUGGAGGCACUUUCUGAGAUUCGUGCUGAGGAGACUCGCUUACGUGGUGCUGAUUUGCUGGAGGUUCCCUCUGUGCUCGCUACUCGGUCUUCUUCCACGCCACCUGCUGCACCGACCCCUUCUCGCUCGAGUGCUCCGCCGCUCUUGCCCACUCCUUCUGGAGGCUCAGGUCGCCCCCGUCCACAUUGCGAUUACUGCAACAAUGAUGGUCAUAUUGAGUCCCAGUGCUACACGAAGAGGAAACACCUGCGCAAGGCGCGAUCAUCAUCUUCAGGGACUUCGUCA